rnacentral:rRNA from 1 species
GACGAACGCUGGCGGCGUGCUUAACACAUGCAAGUCGAACGGUGAAGCGCCUUCCUUUUUGGUGGGUGUGGAUGAGUGGCGAACGGGUGAGUAACACGUGAGUAACCUGCCCCCUUCUUCUGGAUAACCGCAUGAAAGUGUGGCUAAUACGGGAUAUUCUGGGUCUGUCGCAUGAUGGGUCUGGGAAAGAUAUUGUUUCGGUGGGGGAUGGGCUCGCGGCCUAUCAGCUUGUUGGUGGGGUGAUGGCCUACCAAGGCGGUGACGGGUAGCCGGCCUGAGAGGGUGGACGGUCACACUGGGACUGAGACACGGCCCAGACUCCUACGGGAGGCAGCAGGGGGGAAUAGUGCACAAUGGGCGCAAGCCUGAUGCAGCGACGCCGCGUGAGGGAUGGAGGCCUUCGGGUUGUGAACCUCUUUCGCCAGUGAAGCAGGCCUGCCUCGUUUGUGGGUGGGUUGACGGUAGCUGGAGAAGAAGCGCCGGCUAACUACGUG